rnacentral:lncRNA from 1 species
GGCUUGUUUGGAGCAUAAUAUUAUUGGAAUGUCAAUUCUAGUAAAAUUGACUAUGUUUAUUUGUUGGUCAAGAUCCAAUGUAAAAUAUUCAUCACCUAAUUGAUUAAAUAGAGCAUCAAUUACUAAAACAUUUUGCUAAAUGACAUAAUUAGAAGAUAGUAGCAAAGAUAAAAGAAGGACAAAAUUCCAUUGUGGAUAGAAAUCAAAUAGUUGUAGAGUACUAUUUAUUACAAGAUGUUCAUGGAGUAGGUAUUUAAAUAGAAUAUCAAAAGUAGUAGUAAAUUUUCUUGUACACUCUUCAUUUUUUUUUAUGCUUCUACAAAUAUAUACACUUUUAGUACUAUUAAAGGAAAUUUUUUGUAAAAUACCUAAUUAUAAAAAAAUCUAUUCAAAUAAAUCUAAGUUUGAAAUUUUUUGUCUUUAAUUUUUGCUUGAAGCUUCUUUUUUGAUGCUCUACAUAUGUUGUAAUUUUGUGCCAAAUAUUAUGAAAUUUCAUUGUAGAUACUUUCAGCCCCUUCUUUAAAACAACUUAGCUCCCUUCUAUCCUCAAUGUGUUAAUAUUUUUAAAAUAAAUC